AUUGAACGCUGGCGGCAUGCUUUACACAUGCAAGUCGAACGGCAGCGCGGGCUUCGGCCUGGCGGCGAGUGGCGAACGGGUGAGUAAUGCAUCGGAACGUGCCCCGUAGUGGGGGAUAGCCCGGCGAAAGCCGGAUUAAUACCGCAUACGACCUGCGGGUGAAAGCGGGGGACCGAAAGGCCUCGCGCUAUUGGAGCGGCCGACGUCGGAGUAGCCAGUUGGUGGGGGAAAGGCUUACCAAGGCGACGAUCCGUAGCUGGUCUGAGAGGACGACCAGCCACACGGGGAGGGAGACACGGCCCAGGCGCCUACGAGAGGCAGCAGUGGGGAAUUUUGGACAAUGGGGGCAACCCUGAUCCAGCCAUGCCGCGUGCGGGAAGAAGGCCUUCGGGUUGUAAACCGCUUUUGUUCGGGAAGAAAUCCUCUGGGCUAAUACCCAGGGGGGAUGACGGUACCGGAAGAAUAAGCACCGGCUAACUACGUG
rnacentral:rRNA from 1 species